UAAACCCUCAUUAACCUCAGUCCAUUACAUUACAUUAAACCCUCAGUCCAGUAAACCCUCAUAGGACAGACUCUCUCGCCAACAGUGCAUGUUGAGCCCAUAGGUCUCUGGGGACUCCACUUUAGUUUAAAAGUAUAUUACAAUUUUGAGAAAGUGUUAUAUCGUCUCUUUACAGGUGAAAAUGUAACUGAUGAAGCUUCUGCAAGUAUGUCACUUGACAACACAGGCAGUUUCGCGGUACCUGUACGUAGGCCUGCGACCCAUGCAAUAAGGCAAGUUGAUGGAUUUCAACACCAGCAUGAUUCACCAAGAGAAAGCCAUCUGGCAGGGGCAAAAUCGCCACCAUCUGCAGACACACGGGUGCCUGGUAUGUAGUAUUAUCUGCCUGCACCUAGUGCAUGAACCUGCCACUUCCCUCUGUGGAAGAAUUUUGCCUAUGUUUCUGAUUUUCCAUUUUGAGCUCUAAAAUGG